rnacentral:lncRNA from 1 species
GGAAAAGAUGAGCACCUCUUUAACGGUAAGAGGUAAUUUUCGCAUUUUGUUUCGCAUUAUUGAACUAUGAAUGGUUUUUCAUAGUGCGUUUGUCCAAAUAAUAUUCAUCACAUGUUGUUCUGAUAGUUUUAUACUUCUGCAAAGUAUUAUCGUUUUGUUCAUGUUGUUCUAUCUUUUCACAGUUCAUGGGAUCCCAUUUUUGAGGUGAAAAAGUUCCAAAAUGGGAAUAAAGAUGGUGCUCCGAAGAUAUUGGCGCUAGGAUUUGUGAUGUAUUCCUCCUCAAUUACACAUACAUUGCCACCUUUUACAACAAAACUUCAGAGGCUCAUUUGUAACUUGAAGGUAGUCUUUUUCGGAAACUUGACAAAAUUUCUGUUCAAGAUUAUGUUUUAAUCACGCAUCAAAGUGAAACUUUCAGUCUUUUGCAUAGAUUGUUCUAACAUGGAGAGGUUACUACUCAAGCUGAUAUUGAAAUCUAAUCAGUGGAAUGAGGUAUUUUAUGCAAAGACUACUCUUUUUGCCCCUGAUUUUUGGUAGUCGUGAUCGUGACCUAUUUGACAAUGUUGAACAUAAGUUUGCAAGGUCGUUAUUGUUGACAUAUAACUUCUCUCAGGUCUUUCUUCUUUGCUUCUUUGUCUGUGCAUGUGUUUGUUAUUGUGCUUUGUGUGAAUUGGUUUGUAAUUUGUUUCUUAACUCAACAUGCAAGGAAAACCAAAAGUGAAAACUGGUUGGAGUAAAAAAUAUAGAUUUAUACUGUGUGAAAUUGGUGGCACAAUUAUUCAAGGUGGGAGCUGGCAGUGGAAAGGCUGGACUAAAGGGGUGUUACAGGACAACACACUAGAGUAAUUUUUGUAAAUGUUUUCUUUCAAGGUUAUAGAGACAGGGGUUAGCAGAAAACACAAUAGUACAUUAAUUUUCUGUUGUUAAUUGUUUUUUGAUAUGGUUCCUUCAUUAGCAAUUUUUUAUCGAAAUUUUUUAUUAUAAAAGAAUUAUGAAAGUUUUAGGGAAAAACACUCUAUUUCCCUAUUUGCUUCUUCUCUAUAGAUACUGAAAAGGGAAAAGAAGUAUGAAGAUUCAAAUAACAAUGGCUAGGUGAAUGCUUGUAGUUUUUAUCUCUUUUGGAAGUUACACAUCUGUUAAAUAUCUAUUAGAACAUAUUGAGAAAGUAAAAAAGUUAAAACCAAAAUUCAAUUGGAGUUUCAAAUGUAAAAAUGAGAGAAAAUAAAACUUAAUUGGAAAUGAUAUCUUCCAUGUUUCUGUGGGUGUAGUUUAUGAUGCUAUCCUCAUAUGAUUGUAAAUGUAUGUUUUCUUAGAAACGAUUAUAUUGUAACAGAGCAUUAAAUUUGGGCAUUAAAGUUCAGUGUCAUAUAAGUCGAAAGUGAUUGAACUGUCUUUUCAAGAGGGACUUAUUUUCAUCAAAUAAAAUAUUGCAUUAGUGAAUGUAUUAUGUGCGUGAUUGUUAUAUUCUUCCCCAAUUUUCUGAGAUUUUAGCAUCUUAUUUGUUUGUAAAUUGCUCUUUAGGAUACUUUUGUCCUCUUAUUGAUUUGUCUUUGGAAGGAGACAGUAAUAGUGUAAUAUGAAUAAUAGAAAGAAAUUAUCAAUGUCUUUGACUAUAUGUGCAUUUCAAACAAGUCAAUAUUAGUCUUAUUGGUCAAAAUAUUGCUUCGUGGGUAUCUCUUUUAAUGUAUGCCUACCUAAUCUGGAACAUGACCAAGGGAUUCUUCUGAAAUCCUACUAAAGUUAUGCUACUUUAUAGGGCACUGGUUAUUGUCUAGCAAUGUAAACUUUUAAUGCACACUUGUUCUGUAGGAGCCUCUUAUCAUUUGGAUUGUGUGUCAUCUGCUAUUAACAUGUGGCCUUCCAAUAUUUUGUUCGGACUUUUCACUUUGGCUAAGCA